rnacentral:rRNA from 1 species
AACGUAGGAGGCGAGCGUUAUCCGGAAUUACUGGGCGUAAAGCGCGUGUAGGCGGACGACCAAGUCAUUUGUGAAAGCUCCUGGCUAAACUGGGAGAGGUCGAAUGAUACUGGUGGUCUGGAGAGCAGGAGAGGAGUGCGGAAUUCCGGGUGUAGUGGUGAAAUGCGUAGAUAUCCGGAGGAACACCAGUGGCGAAGGCGGCACUCUGGCCUGCAACUGACGCUAAGACGCGAAAGCAUGGGGAGCGAACGGG